rnacentral:rRNA from 1 species
AUUGAACGCUGGCGGCAGGCCUAACACAUGCAAGUCGAGCGGCAGCGGGACCUUCGGGUUGCCGGCGAGCGGCGGACGGGUGAGUAAUGCCUAGGAAUCUGCCUGUUAGUGGGGGAUAACGCGGGGAAACUCGCGCUAAUACCGCAUACGUCCUACGGGAGAAAGCGGGGGCUCUUCGGACCUCGCGCUAACAGAUGAGCCUAGGUCGGAUUAGCUAGUUGGUGGGGUAAUGGCCCACCAAGGCGACGAUCCGUAACUGGUCUGAGAGGAUGAUCCGUCACACUGGAACUGAGACACGGUCCAGACUCCUACGGGAGGCAGCAGUGGGGAAUAUUGGACAAUGGGCGAAAGCCUGAUCCAGCCAUGCCGCGUGUGUGAAGAAGGUCUUCGGAUUGUAAAGCACUUUAAGUCGGGAGGAAGGACUGUAGGCUAAUACCUUGCAGUUUUGACGUUACCGACAGAAUAAGCACCGGCUAACUUCGUGCCAGCAGCCGCAGUAA